AUGAACGCUGGCGGCGUGCCUAAUACAUGCAAGUCGAGCGAACAGAUGAGGAGCUUGCUCCUCUGACGUUAGCGGCGGACGGGUGAGUAACACGUGGAUAACCUACCUAUAAGACUGGGAUAACUUCGGGAAACCGGAGCUAAUACCGGAUAAUAUAUUGAACCGCAUGGUUCAAUAGUGAAAGACGGUUUUGCUGUCACUUAUAGAUGGAUCCGCGCCGCAUUAGCUAGUUGGUAAGGUAACGGCUUACCAAGGCAACGAUGCGUAGCCGACCUGAGAGGGUGAUCGGCCACACUGGAACUGAGACACGGUCCAGACUCCUACGGGAGGCAGCAGUAGGGAAUCUUCCGCAAUGGGCGAAAGCCUGACGGAGCAACGCCGCGUGAGUGAUGAAGGUCUUCGGAUCGUAAAACUCUGUUAUUAGGGAAGAAUAAAUGUGUAAGUAACUAUGCACGUCUUGACGGUACCUAAUCAGAAAGCCACGGCUAACUACGUG
rnacentral:rRNA from 1 species